GCAGCUGCUGACAUUGAUGUGCUGUGCUGUGCUGAGCUGUGCAGUGUUUGCUUCCAGUGAGUGCUCCUGUUGUCUCCUUGGAGUUGCUGCUCCAUCCUGACCAGAUGUUACUGAGACACCAUUGAUGCUGUUCUGCAGGACCUUCUCAGGACUCUGGCACAGCAGGAAAAAAAUCUGUAACCACUGUCUUCUGGAGGUGUGGUCAUAUUUGUAGAGACAGACUUCUGUUUCUCAUUCAGUGCUCAAUCUUGCACAAGCAGCAAGGGGGUAGGAGAAAGAGGGAAAUUUGCCAUAGUCUACAGUGCAUCUCCAGUAAAUGGCCAACACUACCCAUGUAUAAACUUUCAGUAUGAUCCUGCAGAGAAUAACUGAUGGAGUGAGCUUUGUGCCUACCUUGGCUGUACUGCUCCAGAGGGACACAAUGAUAUUCAUGGGAAACAGUCCUGUGUCCAGAACUUGGCCAGAAACAUCUAUUCAGGCCCUGAAAUGUCGGUGUAUUCCCACAGGAAACAGAGGAGCCUACAGAACAACAGGGAAAUUGCUAAUCAUACCUCAUCUAAGUCAAGUCUGGCUGUAAAUUAUGACUAAGCACCAGGUACUCUUACUGCUCUCUGUAAACUGGAGGUAACUGCACAAGAAAAAUGGAGGUUAUACUUUUUGAAUGGAGAUUAAGAAUAACAACACUUUGCAGUGUUGGAGCAGUCAGAGUUGAGUUUGUGCUUCAGUUAAAUCAAUGGAUUAUGCUGAAGAAUCCUGUGAGUAAAGUUGAUGAGGAGAUCGAGAACCACUGGAAAAAUUUUUGUGAAUGUCUGGGUAACAUCUCACAAGGCUGUGAUAACUCAAACUGCUUCUUCAGGAGCUUUGAACCAUAUGGGAGCCAUGUGUAUGAAAUACAAAAUAAAUGUGUUUCCCAUGAAGACAACAGAGUUAGUGUGGAAAAUGGAAGAGUUCUGGUGUUCAAGGAUUCAUGUCAGGUUUAUCUGUAAUCAGCAGACUAGAAGCAGAGUGCACAAGUGAUUUUCCCUACACUACUUAUGAAGGAUUUCUGAGAACACAGUAGUGCUUCUGACCUAGUGAAACUCCUGGUAU